CUACGGGUUGCACCAGUGGGGAAUAUUGCACAAUGGGCGCAAGCCUGAUGCAGCAACGCCGCGUGAGGGAAGAAGGUCUUCGGAUUGUAAACCUCUGUCCUUGGGGACGAAAAAAAUGACGGUACCCAAGGAGGAAGCUCCGGCUAACUACGUGCCAGCAGCCGCGGUAAUACGUAGGGAGCGAGCGUUGUCCGGAAUUACUGGGCGUAAAGGGUGCGUAGGCGGCAUGGCAAGUCAGAUGUGAAAUACCCAGGCUUAACUUGGGGGGUGCAUUUGAAACUGCUGUGCUUGAGUGCAGGAGAGGAAAGCGGAAUUCCUAGUGUAGCGGUGAAAUGCGUAGAUAUUAGGAAGAACACCAGUGGCGAAGGCGGCUUUCUGGACUGUAACUGACGCUGAGGCACGAAAGCGUGGGGAGCAAACAGGAUUAGAUACCCCAGUAGUC
rnacentral:rRNA from 1 species